AAAAACGACCCGUUGGGAGAACGUUAGUGGCAACUCCAAGAGGAUAAAUAGUUGCAGAAGAGGGCAAGGAGAGCAGCAAUGGAAGCGCUCAAGGUGUGGAGUAUGUCUUCGAGGCCAUUCAGGCACUUAAUCUUCUUCGCUUCUCCGUUCACUUCUUCUUCUAUUUUCACCAAAUCCAGGUGCAUCCAUUCCUCCCCGGUCCUUCGCUGCUGCAACUCCUCCACCACUACCACUGGCGCUGCCCGAAACCGCCGUUCCUCCUCCUCAUCAUCUUCUUCCACUUCAGACCGAGAUGCUGUUCGCGCCAUUCGCCUCAAAAAGGUGGAAGAGCUGCGAAGCAAAGGCUUUGAACCCUAUGCUUAUAGUUGGGACAGAACUCAUACUUCUAGCCAACUGCAAGAUAUAUAUAAAAGUUUGGGGAAUGGUGAGGAGGCAAACAAAGAGAAUGAUACUGUAUCAAUAGCCGGAAGAAUUGUGGCUCGCAGAGCUUUUGGAAAGCUUGCAUUUUUAACACUAAGGGAUGACUCAGGGACCAUACAGCUCUAUUGUGAGAAGGAAAAGCUUUUAAAUGAGCAGUUUGAUCAAUUGAAGACAGUUGUUGACAUUGGCGAUAUACUCGGUGCUAGUGGCUCAAUUAAGCGGACAGAGAAAGGGGAGCUUUCUGUUUAUGUGAAAUCUUUUGCAAUUCUCACAAAGUCUCUACUUCCCCUCCCGGAUAAAUAUCAUGGCCUUACUGAUGUGGAUAAGAGAUAUCGCCAAAGGUAUAUUGAUAUGAUUGCGAACCCUGAAGUAGCUGAUACAUUUCGCAAAAGAGCAAAGAUAGUUUCAGAGAUACGGAAGACGGUGGAAUCAUUUGGUUUUGUUGAAGUUGAAACUCCAGUUCUACAGGGAGCAGCCGGAGGAGCAGAAGCUAGGCCAUUUGUUACAUAUCAUAAUUCUCUUGGAAGGCAGCUUUAUCUGAGAAUUGCAACUGAACUUCACUUAAAGAGAAUGUUGGUUGGGGGAUUUGAAAAGGUAUAUGAGAUCGGUCGGAUAUUCAGAAAUGAAGGCAUUUCAACUCGUCAUAAUCCUGAAUUUACCACUAUAGAGAUUUAUGAAGCAUAUUCAGACUACCAAAGCAUGAUGAACAUGGCAGAAGAAAUUGUUAUUCGAUGUGCGCUUGCAGUUCAAGGAAAGCUCAGCAUUGAUUACCAGGGGUUAGAGAUAAGUCUAGAGCGACCUUGGAGGAGGGAAACCAUGCACAAUCUUGUAAAAGAAGCAACGGGGAUUGAUUUCAGUGAGUUGGGCAAUGAUCUUAAAGUUGCUAAAGAUAUUACUUCGAGGACGCUUAGAAGUGGCCUUGAUAAAAAAGACUUAUCUGCCUUUGAUGCAUGCCCUUCUGUUGGCCACCUCCUCAAUGAGGUUUUUGAAAUUGUUGUAGAGCCAAAGCUUCUGCAACCUACAUUUGUUUUGGACUAUCCUGUUGAGAUAUCUCCUCUAGCCAAACCUCACAGAAGGCAUGCGGGUUUGACUGAAAGAUUUGAACUCUUCAUCUGUGGUCGGGAGAUGGCAAAUGCAUUCUCUGAAUUGACUGAUCCCUUGGAUCAGAGAGAACGCUUUGAAGAGCAAGUGAGGCAGCACAAUGAAAAGAGAGCAGCCACUGCUUCUGAAGCAGGUUGUAGUGAAGAGGAAAGAGAGAAAGAUGAGGACACCUCCUAUGAAGUGACCCUUGAUGAUGACUUUCUGACAGCCUUGGAAUAUGGAAUGCCCCCUGCUUCAGGAAUGUAUUUGAAACGUGAAGAAGUGGAGUCCGUUUACUAGUAAAAUACAAGAAGCUCCUAGCAUUGAAGAAUCGUUAGCAACUGUUUCAGAGGAAGCAAAAGAAAAUGUAGCAGCUGAGCCGGAGGCGCGCAAAAGCUUAAAAGUGGGGUCUUGAAAUUCUUUGAAUAAUUUCAACCAGACAACGGCUUCAUUUAAAUACUUUACCAGGAGUGAUGCUGGGCUGGAAUCAUCAAGAAAAAUUUUGUUCAUGAGGAUUUUGUUUUGCAAGAUCCACUGCCCUUCUUUCAUUUGCUUCUGCAAACCCUCUCCUCAUUUGUUUUCCAGUGCUGGGCCAUUGAAAUUGGAAAACAGCCCACAUGUGCCAGUUGCUGUUGAUAUCUGUAACCAUCAUGAAUGUGGUGAUACUGAUGGUGAGACUAUUGUGGCCAAUAAAGAUAUUGUUGAUGUAGAUGGAAAGCAACAGCAAGAACAACAGGUUGAGAAUUUUGUGAAAAGCAGUCUCAAGAAGGCAUCUUUGGAUUCCAAAGAGGUUCAAAAUAAGAGAGUGCAAUGGCCGGAUUUGUUGGGGAAAGAACUAGUUGAGAUCAAGGAAUUUGAACCUAGUGAAACAGAAGAUACAGACAAUGAAUACGAGAACAUUAGGGGCUGUGUUUGUAUAAUUCUUUGAUAUUCAGUUAAUGUCAUCUCCGAACAUUCCCAUACUAAUGCAAGCACGAGGUAGAUGGAAAAAUUAGGCGAUGCUCUUCCAUUCUUACGGAGAAUUCAACAGCUGCAUUGGAGUCUAAAUUCAAGUUCUCAUUUCCUUUGACUGGGGCAUUAUCAUCAACUCUUCUACAAAGACCUUUCCUGGAGAACUCAGUGAAGCAGAAUAGUUAUUUGUUGACUUCUUGCUAUGCAUUCGAAGCUACUGUUUCCUUUCUAAUGCACUGUAAACUUCUCAUUCAUUACAAGAUUUUGAAACUUCAUUGGAGUAGUCAUCUUUCAUGACAUGUUUCGCAUUAUUUUCUGCAGAAAGUGAUCCUUUCAGGGCUUCUUAUAAGACUAGCAAAAAUUUUCUUUAGCAUAAAUGAUACCAACUAUCAUUGUGAAGAGAUAUUGACAGGGAAUGUUAUACCAUUGUUUGCUUGGGGA